UUGCAAACACCAUCCUUAAACCGUAAACAAUAUGUAUGAAGAUUGUUUUUGGUUGUAUAAAAUAAAACAAGUCAACGGACGAUUUAAACAGAAUAAUAAAAUUGGGCCGAAGCUUAUUAGCCUUUUAAGGCCCACAAAGAAGAGCGAAAACCCUUAACGAGCAUAUACAACUCGGAGCACCUCUUUUCUCUCGCUCUCUUCCUCUUCAAGGUUUAUAUUUAUAACUUCUUUUGCUGCUCUCAACGAACUCUUCCAGGCUAAUAAACCGUCUCU